rnacentral:tRNA from 3 species
GCUUGGGUAGUUCAAUGGUAGAACACGCCCCUGAAGAGGGUGAAACGGAGGUCCGAUUCCUCUCCCAAGCA